rnacentral:rRNA from 1 species
GACGAACGCUGGCGGCGCGCCUAAUACAUGCAAGUCGAGCGAGAACUAGGACUUCGGUCCUGGGGACAGCGGCGAACGGGUGCGUAACACGUGAGCAACCUGCCCCGAAGACCGGGACAAGCCGGGGAAACCUGGUCUAAUACCGGAUGCCCUCACCUGCAUCGCAUGGUGUGGUGAGGAAAUGGAUUCCGCUUCGGGAUGGGCUCGCGGUCUAUCAGCUUGUUGGUGGGGUAACGGCCCACCAAGGCGACGACGGAUAGCUGGUCUGAGAGGACGAUCAGCCACACUGGGACUGAGACACGGCCCAGACUCCUACGGGAGGCAGCAGUAGGGAAUCUUGCGCAAUGGGGGAAACCCUCGACGCAGCGACGCCGCGUGCGGGA